UGUAUUUAUACUCUGAUAUUUUCAGUAGCAAGACAAAUGUAUGAAGGAAAGUGAAAUUUUAAGAGAGGAAUAUUCGACAUCAAUUUUUGAAAUUCGUUGCGGGUCGAGGAUGUUUUGCGUUCACGUCACAUAUGCGAUAUUUCGAAUAAACUAGCCGCGAUUACCUUGGACAAAAUUCAUAUAUUUUGUUCUUAUUAGUUGCACAGAUGCUACUUUAAAUACCAUCUCCUAAAACAAAAGAUUUCAGAAAAGAUAAACAAUUGAUGUUCUUGAAACUUAAUAGUUAACAACGGACUUAAAAAUAUCAGUUUUGAAGGCCUUAAAAAGUGCCAUUAAAAGGCCUUAAAAAGUGCCCAUCGUUACCGAGGUACAUCCAUCCACCGUCCUGUAGAUCAGUCCUAAAACAAAAAACAAAGUAGUGUGAAACGAAUUCGCGGAUCGUAAAGAAAUGCUUAACGAAUGGACGCGAUAUGGUCUUCAAACCCUUACCGAAGUUAUGGCCGAAGAAAGAAAAAAGUUAGAAAAGACGAUGAAAGUUGGAGACUCGUCCCAUUGCAGAAUUCGAGAGUCGAUCGUAGUGCCAGGUAUCCAAGAACCUGUAGAAUCCUAAAAACAAGGUAUUUAGGGAACACCAAGAUUCACCUUGAACUUGCGAAUAUUCGUUUUAUAGACUAGUUCCAUCGUUUUCUUUCUAAAAAGAAUGAAAUCUCCUUUAAUUAGUAACGUCCGACUUUCGAAUGAAAAAUAAUUACUGCGCUUGCGCGAACCGUUGGUUCAAAUGUAUUUACAACCGAGGGUUGCCGGGAAAGAUCGAAGUGUUACUGUUCGAUUAACGCAUAAAUCGAUAGCAAAAGAGCCGUUACCUUCAGAGAUUAGCGGAACAAGGACGAAAGAUGACAAGGAGUUAGACAAGUAUUCAAAUCUGAUAUUUGAAAAUUAAUUGUUUUCCCUUGAAUCCGGAUUGAUCGAAUUCGUUCAACGUCGUCGUCGAUACGGAUUAUGAACAUUAGCGUUUGGAAGUUCAUUGGCAUCGGGAAGUAAAGCCUUUCAGAUACAGGUUGUAUGAGUUUUUCGUACGUAGAACCUGUUAAAGCAUUUUAAUAGCUAAAGGAAUGCAUAAUUAAAUCACAGACCAGACACGGUUAUGACAGACCAUAUUCGAUGAAGGAUGAGAUAUACCGUUCCUUUUAUGAUUCUCAUCUCGUCCAACGUGAAACUUGCGCUUUGAUCUGCGAAGAGAAGAGAAAUCGGAAUGAGCUAUUCCAGAGAAAUAAACAGUUUUUGUCAACCGAUUAUACCUCGAUCCUUGACCCGAUACCGUAACACAUUGUCACUAGUCGACCCAUUAGUGCAUCUUCGCUUAAAAAACCUUAGACGAUCACUCAUUAUUUUGCCACAAAUGUAUACACGAAAAAGCUAUUAAGAGGAUAGAUAAUUCGAAAUUGAUAGGAAUAUUCUUGGGAAAGUUUGCAGAAACCAUUAUGAUCCUUUCAAUGCUGAUUAUAAUUACGACAUUUCGCUAAAAAGCGUCUCGAGGUCAAACAUGGAUAUUUCGUAAGACGCAAUAGUUUCUCGCAUGUGGCUUCAUCCCCCGCCAUUUCCUAAACUUGCUCGAUCGAUACGAUUACAAUUAUAGUUUCCGAUUAUUUCGAUCAAUGAUCGAAAAGCUACAAUUCAAUUGCGCGGUAAUUUGUUACCGUUUGAAAUCAAGAACACUGAUGAUUCUAUAAUACAGAUAAGGAUAUACCAAGAUGUUUAAAUCUUUUUACGCGGGAGAAUGAUUUAGAUUCUGCUUCUAACUAGACAAGAUGUUAUCGACACUAAUGAUCA